rnacentral:rRNA from 1 species
UAGACUACAUAUCAGGCAUAUCAAUAAGCGGAGGAAAAGAAACUAACUAGGAUUCCCUCAGUAACGGCGAGUGAAGCGGGAAGAGCUCAAAUUUGAAAUCUUCAAGGUUUUACCUUGACGAAUUGUAGUUUAAAGAAGUGUUUUCUGUUGGUGUUUUGGUAAAAGUUCUUUGGAAUAGGACAUCAUAGAGGGUGAGAAUCCCGUAUUUGACCAUUUACUUCCAGCUGUGUGAUACACUUUCAAAGAGUCGGAUUGUUUGGGAAUGCAGUCCAAAAUGGGUGGUAAAUUUCAUCUAAAGCUAAAUAUUGGCGAGAGACCGAUAGCGAACAAGUACCGUGAGGGAAAGAUGAAAAGAACUUUGAAAAGAGAGUUAAACAGUACGUGAAAUUGUCAAAAGGGAAGCGUUUGACACCAGUGUUGUUUUCUCGAAAAUCAAUUAAAAAGUAUGGGAUUUUGUAUUGUUAAGACCUUAUCAGCUUACGGUACUUUUUUCUUAUUCUUUUUAAUGCACUUUUCGUUUAACAAGUCAACAUCAAUUUCUUUUGUUGUAAAAGAGUCAUUGGAAGGUGGCUUUCACUUCGGUGAAAGUGUUUAUAGCCUUUGGCUUCUACAAUCGGAGAGAUUGAGGUCUGCAGCGUAGAUCCUUCGGGGUUAGAUACGUAGAUGCUAAGUUAUAGUUUUUCAUAGACAACUUGUUGACUAUGAUUAUCAUGUAGCUUACUCGUUUGCGCUAUUUUACCUACGCUUAGGAUGUUGAAUCUGUGCGAGACUAC